rnacentral:tRNA from 1 species
AUCAGGAUGGCUGAGUGGUCUAGGGUGCCAGACUCAGGGCUUUGCUUUCACCCCUCCUGGGAGUUCUGGUGUCUGUAUGGAGGUGUGGAUUCAAAUCCCACUUCUGACA